GUUCAGACCUUUUUCAAGGUCACACAUUUAAAAAUAACAGAUCAGU
rfam:Sus scrofa isolate TJ Tabasco breed Duroc chromosome 13, whole genome shotgun sequence.